UCUAUUUUAUGUACUAUUAGUGUCUAUAUAUUUAUCAGUAGUACUGGAGUAACUGAUGGAUCAGUGAUACAAUCAUUGAUACAAGUUAUGACUGAUGAGAAUUACCAGCUCACUGGACCCUGACUCUCGCCUGACUCUAAGAAUCUGAGGAGUUAUUACGUGUGUAUCCUCCAUAUAUAAAUUAUUUUGAAGUCUCUAAGGAGGCUCUCAGUUCCUGUGAUUGUCAGUUCCCAAGGUUUCAUGCUUUCCUUAAGUGUAAUGAGUCCAAACCAGAGUGUGGCCGCCAGACACUAUCAGAACUACUGAUAACACCAGUACAAA